GCGUGGCCUCGGGCCGCAGCGCGGGCUCCACGGUGGCCAGGAUGCUCUGGAUGAAGUUUUCGGCAUAGUGAGCGCGGCUCUGGAACACCUGCACGCGCUUGCGCAGCCCGCUGGUGCCCGGCUUCUGGUCAGGUACCAGUGAUCGAACCCACGACUGCCUGCUUGCAAGGCAGGCGCUUAUGCCGCUGAGCUAAAUCCCCAGCCCCAAGAAUAAUUUUUUAAUUAAAACAAAAAUGUCACCCAUUCAGGAAAACACAGAAAGGUUACUGUUAAAUCCCCAAGUAAUGGAAAGACACCACUAGGAUUCUCUAAGGGCGUAGCAGUGGGGUUGCCAAGUUUUAGUGCCUGGUCAUACUCCUCUUGAAUCUCCAGGUUCCAGUGAGACUGUUCAUGUCCACGACCACCAAAUUGUAAAAAGGCCUUUACAAUUUAGGUACUGGGGAAUCAAACUCAGGACCUCAUGCUUGCCAGGAAGGUGCUGUGCUGCUAAGCUAAAACCCUGGUCCUUGAAUACUACUUUUAAGAGGAUUAUCUGUAAUUUUCUUUUUACUUAUUAUCAUAAACACAAUAUGCUUAAGUUUCCCACUAAGAAAGAAGGCCAUACAUAUAAAAAAAUUAUUUAUACUUUAAUCAUAAAGCAUAUAACCUGUAAGUGCAUGUAAGUUAAAUUAAUAAGAUACACUAGUUAAAUUGCAUAGCACAUAGUUAAUAAAUAAACAGCAGACCAAACCUAAGGUGGUGACUCUUAGCGUGACAGCAGCCCUCCGAGUCAGCUGGAUAUGAGGGAAUACACACAAUGGUGCAUCCACUCUUGGUGUUCAUUCAGAGGCAUUACAUGUUGGCAAACCUGCAUACAAAAACAGAAAGUUUUUACUUUUCUUUUACAUGUUAUUCCUGGGAAAUUUCUAAGAGGCAUCUCAGCCUUGUGUAAAGCAUAUCUAUGUGGAACCAGGCGUGGUGGACUGUGCCUAGAGUCCCAGAUACUCAGGAGCCUGAGGCAGGAGCAUGGCGUGGGCCUACAGGCUUGAGACCACGGGCAGUAGAGCAAGAUCCUACCUCAAAACAAAAACAAAAGCAGAGCCAAGUCCCCGUGCAGAUGAAAUCCGGUGCUUUUCGUCUUUAGGUCUGACAGGGACUGCGGGCUGAGUCCCACCCUGCCAUCGUGGCUAUUGGUCAGUGCAGGUGCAGACUGCACUCCUUUCUACUGAGUACUUCUUACCUGGACAAAUAGAAAAGAUUGCCUCUUCACCCUUGGAGCAUUAUCCUGCAUAUUAGGGUUUAAAGAUAACACAGAGAAGGAGAGCUCAGCAUGCAUGUUUUUCCCUGUUCCUUCUCCCGGCUCUAGAGUCCAGCUUGGCCCUGAUUUUGAAUUUGGAGCUAACUCAGAAGCCAGAGUUCUUCACCACCAGAGCUACAGCUGCGUCUGGCUCUUGACUUAGCUGUUUAUCUAAAACAGCUAUUUCUUUCCCAUGUCAUCUUGGAACCUCUGAAUAAUGCAGACAAAAAUAUUCUGAGUAAUUAAAUGCCUAUUACUG